rnacentral:rRNA from 1 species
UACGUAGGGUGCAAGCGUUUGCCCGGAUUUAUUUGGGCGUAAAGGGCGCGCAGGCGGCCCCGGCGCGUCCGCGGUGAAAGCUCCCGGCUCAACUGGGAGAGGUCCGCGGAAACGGUCGGGCUGGAGCAAGGUAGGGGUCGUGGAAUUCCCGGUGUAGUGGUGGAAUGCGUAGAGAUCGGGAGGAACACCAGUGGCGAAGGCGGCGACCUGGACCUGUGCUGACGCUGAGGCGCGAAAGCGUGG